rnacentral:rRNA from 1 species
GUAAGGAAUAUUGGACAAUGGACGCAAGUCUGAUCCAGCCAUGCCGCGUGAAGGAUUAAGGUCCUCUGGAUUGUAAACUUCUUUUAUAAGGGACGAAAAAAGGCUUUUCUAAGUCGUCUGACGGUACCUUAUGAAUAAGCACCGGCUAACUCCGUGCCAGCAGCCGCGGUAAUACGGAGGGUGCAAGCGUUAUCCGGAUUCACUGGGUUUAAAGGAUGCGUAGGCGGGCAGGUAAGUCAGUGGUGAAAUCCUAGAGCUUAAAUCUAGAACUGCCAUUGUUACUAUCUGUCUUGAAUAUUGUGGAGGUAAGCGGAAUAUGUCAUGUAGCGGUGAAAUGCUUAGAUAUGACAUAGAACACCUAUUGCGAAGGCAGCUUACUACGCAUAUAUUGACGCUGAGGCACGAAAGCGUGGGGAUCAAACAGGAUUAGAAACCCUAGUAGUCC